UGCCAGCCGCCGCGGUAAUACGAAGGGUGCAAGCGUUGUUCGGAUUUAUUGGGCGUAAAGCGCGCGCAGGCGGACUUUUAAGUCAGGUGUGAAAUGUCGGGGCCUAACCCCGGAACUGCGCCUGAAACUGAAAGUCUAGAAUGUUGGAGAGGCAUGGGGAAUUUCGCAUGUAGGAGUAAAAUCCGUAGAGAUGCGAAGGAACACCGGAGGCGAAGGCGCCAUGCUGGACAAAUAUUGACGCUGAGGCGCGAAAGCGUGGGUAGCAAACAGGAUUAGAUA
rnacentral:rRNA from 1 species